rnacentral:rRNA from 1 species
UACGAAGGGGGCAAGCGUUGUUCGGAAUCACUGGGCGUAAAGCGUGCGUAGGCGGUCUUUCAAGUUAGGCGUGAAAUCCCUGGGCUUAACCCAGGAAUUGCGCUUAAAACUGGAAGACUAGAAUCCAAGAGAGGUUAGCGGAAUUCCCAGUGUAGAGGUGAAAUUCGUAGAUAUUGGGAGGAACACCAGUGGCGUAGGCGGCUAACUGGCUUGGUAUUGACGCUGAGGCACGAAAGCGUGGGGAGCAAACAGG